GUCGGCACCUACACGUACUUCUUUUUCCUUCUAUUUGUUACAUCUGUGUAGCUAUUUUUUAUUCUAAUUUUAAUACCAUGGUUCUUAUAUGAAAACCCUAAUGUUUAUCAGAUCAGAUUUCUAUUCGUAAAAAACUUUAUAUUUUGGGUUUUGUGGAAAAUUGAAGAAAACCCAAUAAAAUUGAUGUAUCAAACUUGUGUGUCAUUUUACUUUGAUGUUAGUGAUUAUAAGUUUUGGGAUAAUUAGGUUUGAUUAUCAAAAUCUAAUUAUGGGUUUUUGAUUGCUUGAACUAGUGUUUAUGGCUAUAGCUAUAGUCAGUUUUUUCUGCUCUGCCCAGGGUGUAUAAUUCAACCAAUUACCCGUAUUAUCUUCCAUUUAUUUCCCCACACAAAUCGCAAAACUCAACACAAUCCAUAAUAUUUGGGAUUAUUUUAUGCUGGAAUAUUUGGUAAUUCUUUGUGACCCAAGGUUUAUCUGUACUCGCUCGUAAUGUGACUCUUGAAACGCUAAUUAUCAUAUCAUCUAUGAGGAACUUGCAAUAUUUGAUCAUCAGUAUAAUCCUGUGCUUUGUGAUAAAUUAUAUUUAAGAGCAUGGGAAAUUUGAAGCAGUUUUAUGCAGUAUUUUUGCAGAUACUUGUAUAUUGGUUGAGAGUUGCUUUGUUCUACUUCUACCUCUGUUAUUUUUGCUUUAGAUGCCUUUUUUAUCAAUUAUAUCUUAAUGAUUUUUGCGGGAUUUUUUUCCUUAGAUAUGGGAAGUGUAAUCCAGGUUUUAUGCUCCGAUUUUAGAUGCAUCAUAUUUGUUUGCUUUCUUCCUUACUAUGUAAUCUGUGUCUUGUUCGAGUACAAUGAGAAAAAAAAAGGACUUCUGAC
rnacentral:misc_RNA from 1 species